UGCGCAGGCGGAAUAAUAAGUCAGUGGUGAAAUCUCCCGGCUCAACCGAGAAACUGCCAUUGAUACUGUUAUUCUUGAGUAUAGUUGUAGUGGGCGGAAUAUAGCAUGUAGCGGUGAAAUGCUUAGAUAUGCUAUAGAACACCGAUCGCGAAGGCAGCUCACUAAACUAUAACUGACGCUCAGGCACGAAAGCGUGGGGAGCAAACAGGAUUAGAUACCCUGGUAGUCC
rnacentral:rRNA from 1 species